GGUCAUUUAGAGGAAGUAAAAGUCGUAACAAGGUCUCCGUUGGUGAACCAGCGGAGGGAUCAUUACCGAGUUUACAACUCCCAAACCCCUGUGAACAUACCAAUUGUUGCCUCGGCGGAUCAGCCCGCUCCCGGUAAAACGGGACGGCCCGCCAGAGGACCCCUAAACUCUGUUUCUAUAUGUAACUUCUGAGUAAAACCAUAAAUAAAUCAAAACUUUCAACAACGGAUCUCUUGGUUCUGGCAUCGAUGAAGAACGCAGCAAAAUGCGAUAAGUAAUGUGAAUUGCAGAAUUCAGUGAAUCAUCGAAUCUUUGAACGCACAUUGCGCCCGCCAGUAUUCUGGCGGGCAUGCCUGUUCGAGCGUCAUUUCAACCCUCAAGCCCAGCUUGGUGUUGGGACUCGCGAGUCAAAUCGCGUUCCCCAAAUUGAUUGGCGGUCACGUCGAGCUUCCAUAGCGUAGUAGUAAAACCCUCGUUACUGGUAAUCGUCGCGGCCACGCCGUUAAACCCC
rnacentral:rRNA from 1 species